rnacentral:ncRNA from 1 species
UCGUUGUCUAAACAGUAAUCCGACCCAGUACGAGAGGAACCGUCGGUUCAGAUAAUUGGUAAAUGCAGUUAGCUGAAAAGCUAGUGCUGCGAAGCUACCAUCUGUAGGAUUAUGGCUGAACGCCUCUAAGUCAGAAUCCAUGCUGGAAUAGACGAUAAUCACCUUUCCUGAUGUACUAUAAUGGCUGAACGCCUCGAAGUCAGAAUCCAUGCAGGAAUAAACGAUAAUCACCUUUCCUGAUGUGCUAAGACGACUUACUAGGAACAGGGUGCUGUAAGAAUGAAAUCAGUCCUUGUACUACGAUCUGCUGAGAUUUAGCCUUCGUUCCACGAUUUG